UACGUAGGGUGCAAGCGUUAAUCGGAAUUACUGGGCGUAAAGCGUGCGCAGGCGGCUUUGCAAGACAGAUGUGAAGUCCCCGGGCUUAACCUGGGAACUGCAUUUGUGACUGCAUGGCUGGAGUGUGGCAGAGGGGGAUGGAAUUCCGCGUGUAGCAGUGAAAUGCGUAGAUAUGCGGAGGAACACCGAUGGCGAAGGCAAUCCCCUGGGCCUGCACUGACGCUCAUGCACGAAAGCGUGGGGAGCAAACAGG
rnacentral:rRNA from 1 species